CCUAAACCCUAAACCCUAAACCCUAAACCCUAAACCCUAAACCCUAAACCCUAAACCCUAAACCCUAAACCCUAAACCCUAAAACCCUAAACCCUAAACCCUAAACCCUAAACCCUAAACCCUAAACCCUAAACCCUAAACCCUAAACCCUAAACCCUAAACCCUAAACCCUUUUCUUUCCUCCGUCCAGAAAAGAUACGGGACUCGGUUUCUGGUUUAUAGACCGUCAUUUCGGACUCGAUGCGCGAAAAAUUUUAGACUGGUUUCCAUACAAAUCUAACAAAUCGCGAAGUACGGGAGCAACGUGCGAGUAGAACUCGUGUUCAGUUCUUCAUGCGCCGCGCGUCGCGGCCGCGUUCCGCGGCGCCAUGACGCCGUGCGGGAGCUUGUACUGGUUCCCGCCGUUCUCGAGAUAGAUCGUUUGCGCGACCUGAUACUUGAUCGCCCAAAACUUCUCGACGCGGUCCGCGGAGUGAUACGAGGCGUACUUCGCGUCGAUGCGCUCCUUCAGCUCUUCGAGCGUCCUGAAGUAANNNNNN
rnacentral:lncRNA from 1 species